CUACGGGAGGCAGCAGUAGGGAAUCUUCCGCAAUGGGCGAAAGCCUGACGGAGCAACGCCGCGUGAGUGAAGAAGGAUUUCGGUUCGUAAAGCUCUGUUGUUAGGGAAGAAUGAUUGUGUAGUAACUAUACACAGUAGAGACGGUACCUAACCAGAAAGCCACGGCUAACUACGUGCCAGCAGCCGCGGUAAUACGUAGGUGGCAAGCGUUGUCCGGAAUUAUUGGGCGUAAAGCGCGCGCAGGUGGUUUAAUAAGUCUGAUGUGAAAGCCCACGGCUCAACCGUGGAGGGUCAUUGGAAACUGUUAAACUUGAGUGCAGGAGAGAAAAGUGGAAUUCCUAGUGUAGCGGUGAAAUGCGUAGAGAUUAGGAGGAACACCAGUGGCGAAGGCGGCUUUUUGGCCUGUAACUGACACUGAGGCGCGAAAGCGUGGGGAGCAAACAGGAUUAGAUACCCUGGUAGUCCACGCCGUAAACGAUGAGUGCUAAGUGUUGGUCUCAUAAGAGAUCAGUGCUGCAGCUAACGCAUUAAGCACUCCGCCUGGGGAGUACGACCGCAAGGUUGAAACUCAAAGGAAUUGACG
rnacentral:rRNA from 1 species